rnacentral:rRNA from 1 species
UACGUAGGGGGCAAGCGUUGUCCGGAUUUAUUGGGCGUAAAGAGCGUGUAGGCGGCCCGGUAAGUCCGCUGUGAAAGUCGGGGGCUCAACCCUCGAAUGCCGGUGGAUACUGUCGGGUUAGAGUGCGGAAGAGGCGAGUGGAAUUCCUGGUGUAGCGGUGAAAUGCGCAGAUAUCAGGAGGAACACCAAUUGCGAAGGCAGCUCGCUGGGACGUAACUGACGCUGAGACGCGAAAGCGUGGGGAGCAAACAGG